rnacentral:rRNA from 1 species
UACAGAGGUGGCAAGCGUUAUUCGGAAUUACUGGGCGUAAAGCGCGCGUAGGUGGUUUGUUAAGUCAGGCGUGAAAUCCUGGGGCUCAACCCCGGAAUUGCGCUUGAUACUGACAGACUCGAGUGUGGUAGAGGAUAGUGGAAUUCCCGGUGUAGCGGUGAAAUGCGUAGAUAUUGGGAGGAACAUCAGUGGCGAAGGCGGCUAUCUGGGCCAACACUGACACUGAGGCACGAAAGCGUGGGGAGCAAACAGG